rnacentral:rRNA from 1 species
ACUCCUACGGGAGGCAGCAGUGGGGAAUAUUGGACAAUGGGCGCAAGCCUGAUCCAGCCAUGCCGCGUGAGUGAUGAAGGCCCUAGGGUUGUAAAGCUCUUUUGUGCGGGAAGAUAAUGACGGUACCGCAAGAAUAAGCCCCGGCUAACUUCGUGCCAGCAGCCGCGGUAAUACGAAGGGGGCUAGCGUUGCUCGGAAUCACUGGGCGUAAAGGGUGCGUAGGCGGGUCUUUAAGUCAGGGGUGAAAUCCUGGAGCUCAACUCCAGAACUGCCUUUGAUACUGAAGAUCUUGAGUUCGGGAGAGGUGAGUGGAACUGCGAGUGUAGAGGUGAAAUUCGUAGAUAUUCGCAAGAACACCAGUGGCGAAGGCGGCUCACUGGCCCGAUACUGACGCUGAGGCACGAAAGCGUGGGGAGCAAACAGGAUUAGAUACCCUAGAGUCCCA